GACGUAGGUACCGAGCGUUAUCCGGAUUCACUGGGCGUAAAGCGCGUGCAGGUGGUAUGGUAAGUCGGGCAUGAAAACUCUUGGCUCAACUAAGAGACGCUGUUCGAUACUGCCGAACUUGAGGGUGUAAGAGGGAGGUGGAAUUCCGCAUGUAGUGGUGAAAUGCGUAGAUAUGCGGAGGAACACCAGUGGCGAAGGCGGCCUCCUGGUACACUCCUGACACUCAAACGCGAAAGCUAGGGGAGCGAACGGG
rnacentral:rRNA from 1 species